GCGAUCAUACCAACACUAAUGAACUGGAUCCUAUCAAAACUCCGCAGUUAAGCGUGUUUGGACGAGAGUAGUACUAGGAUGGGUGACUCACUGGGAAGUCCUCGUGUUGCACCCC